GUAUAUAGAAGGAUUUGUAGUAAUUUAUAUGUGAAUUAAUUGUCACGGCUCAGACUGCAUGCGUACAUGGCUACACUCGAUCGACGGCAUGCAUUUACUUUAAGCGGUGCUGGUCAUGCAUUUUAACGUACACGCGGAUAUUCAUGCAUUGUGACAUAUGUUCUGGAUUUAUCAUUCUGCCGUUUUUUUACUUAGCUUUUCCACUGCUUUCACAUUUGUUAUUAGAUUGUAUUUUUACUUUAUUUCCACCGCUUCCGAUUUACUAUAAAACCAAAUUUUGUUGUCUGAUUUUGGUGUAAAAGUUUACUGCUUGGCUUUCGGAUUUCAGAUUACACUCGGUAUGCUUCUUGUUUGGUUUUAUACUCUAUUAAUUAUGAAAUUUCCUUUGCUUUCAUGAAAUAGUUAAUACUUAUAGAUGUGAAAAAAAAUUAAUGUAUUUUAUGAUUACAGAAACAAUUAUUUACAGUUUAGCAA